GUUUUAGCAGAGGUGGUGCUUGAUCCUCCUUAGCAAAAGCACACUUCCUGUGGUCCUGUGGUUAAAGCAGACUUAUUGCUACCUUUACAGCAGGGCUUGUUAUGGGCAGUGUGGCAGAGCCAGAGGGCAGACCAGUCUGUGCAGGAAUUCAAAAUACAGGAUGGCUCUACCAGAGCCUCAGUGCCAACUGUGUCUUUGCAUGUUAACACAGAAUGGUUAAAUACAUGUUAAAUAUGCUGAAGAAAUCUACUGGCAUUGGAGCUAUUUACAGUGGCAACAUAAUAAAUAAGGAAACAAAGACAUUAACUGCAUCAAAGUUUUACUGGCAGACUUCUGGCAUAGUGUUUAUGGUAUGCUCUUGGUCAUCAAACCAGUGAAAGCAGUGGUUAAUGCCCAAUGUAGCAGCUAAUUUCUGUCACAUGGAUAUUUGUCUGGGAAAUUAGCCUGGGUCUGAGCCAGAUGGAAUUGCACAGUUUCACUAACUUUGCAGCUCUAUUAGUUUGAAGUCAGGAGAGCAGACAUGGCCUUGACAAGCAUAUGAUUCCGUGCUGCAUUGCCUGUCCUGGGAAGCUGUUCAGCUUUUCUAUAUUUAACAGAUGAAAAUGUCUCCAGAGUUCAUCAAACACAUACUCAAGAUAUCACAAGCUGCAGCUGGCAGCUGGGAGCUCUGCAGUUCAAGGUUAAUGGGACACUAAUUAGUAAGUAUAUAGGGAUAUCAGCACGUAACACCCACUUUUUGAGCAAGUAGGAAAAUGAAUUAAUAGUCAAGAGAAGGAGGGCCCUUCUCCAGCUGCCUCCAGCUCCCUGCAGCUCUCAUUCCACAUUCCCACAGGCUUCCAGGGCAAGUGCUACAGUGAGCUCCUGCAGGCACAGCUGGGAGCACCAGGGAGCCUUGCAGGGCUGGCUGGCUUGGGGAGCAAGCCAGGGUAUCCCUGGAGAGGGUCAGAGUCAGCCUCUGCACUCUCAAACCUCUGCUUUGCCCCCUCGAACCACUGCAGACCCUGUGAAAGCCUGGUAAUGUGGCAAAAAGACCGCACAGCCCCGGGGUAUGGGAACCAUCCCUAAUGCCGGAGAAAACCAGCAGAGAGCAACACCAGCUGACAAGCAGCCUCUCUUCUGGUGUCAGCAGAAAUUGACUGUAGGGGAGAAGAUAGGAUUGAAAAUUGCUGGAACACUGAGUUGAAUAAUAACCAGGGAAUGAUCCUUCUUAAAGUGGAAAAGAGCAAGAUUAAUAGGCGUUUUACCAAGAGAUAACACUUUCACAAUUACUAUUAAGUAUCUAGAAGUCCCUAAUUCAAAAUAUGGAUAAUUUACUGUAAAUCUUGCCACUGACUGCCAUAUUUUCAGGCUAUAAAUUUAAUAGCUGCAGGAAAAAUUUGGUUCGAUGUAUGUAGCAUCACACCCUUCUUCUUUAUAACUGCCAUUCUUUCAGGAGUCAAAAGCACAUUUCAUUGGUUAGAAAUCCCAUCUGUAUAAUUUUGAAUUAUCCAAGAUAAGCCUGGGGGAUAAAAUUAAAAGCCAAGUUUGAUGAGGUUGGUUCUUAACUUCCUUGUCAUUUGGCUAUCUGGGACAUUGAUUCUUUAGCUGGCUUUAUGUCUGACAGCCCAUAUUCCUAGUAAAUUCAAAAUUAGUGACUUUGUGUUCACAGAAAUCUCAAACUAAUUUUUGUCAGAGACUUUUGAAAAUGUAGGUUACACAAACUCAUCUGUGGUUCAAUAGCUUUGCUGUCUCCUCCUAUAACUCAGCUUUUUAUUUUUACCCAGAUCAUUCUCCAUUGCAUUCCUCCUAUUACAAUAUAUUCUCCUUAGUUUGCAGGCAGGCAUUGGCAAUGAAUGGGAGGGAAGGUGAAAGCUUCAUGCAUCACAGAAGUAGCAUAAGAAGGAAUAAGUUGCUCAGAUGUCAAAGCAGUAUUAAGUCUAACCAAAAGGAUAGUACAAUUACCUGGGAACAUUCAGGGAAAUGCAUUGAAAAUGACAGGCUGAAGUUCUGUGGAUAUGAAGAAAAGUGAAGCUGUCUUGCAGUGGGGAAAAAGACAGUAAUGAGUGAAGAGUGCAGCUGUAAUAUUGCUUUAGGAAUUAUUUCAUGUUGUACUGUUAAUUAAGGAGACAGCUCUACACUUGUAGGCUUCUUUCUUAAGUCAGCAGCAGAAUUUCUACUUCUCACAGGAUUGUUCUGGAGAUGAGACCAAAAAGUCUUAAUGGCAUCAGCUGAGAUUCCUACAUGUAAUGUUGAAUCUUUAGGCCUUGCAGAAAAGAGCGCCCUGAAGAGAAUUACACCAAGUCCUACUCACAAAAAGGUAUCUCUGGAAAGGUCUGCACUGAUUUUGUCAUGGUGCUGCAGAACACACACACACACCUGAGCUGUGGAGCAGCUGACAGAGGCACACCACGCCUGUGGGGUCAACGUGGCUUUGAGUUUGAGGGGAAGAUCACUUUUAGUCCAAUUGCUGCAGUUCCAGUUUUGUCCUACUGAGAUUUAAUUAGCCCAAAGAAAUGCAAGCAGUGAGACUGUAAGCCUGAGAUGGUUGCUUGAUAAACCUUUGGGGUGCUGGGGUUUGAUAACUGGAGUGACCCAGUGACAUGACAGCAAUUUUCUUUGUUAGAAAAACACAGCCACGGUAUUCUCAACUUAUAACACUGGGUUGCUCCCCAGAAUGUCUCUCUAGUUAAUAGUAAAGUACAAAAGUGAUGUUAACUGAGAUAAUAAGAUAGCAAAUACUGAUGGAAAUUUGAUUGCAAAUGAGCGAUUUACGUAGCAAAUAAGAAUUAGAUCCCCUAAUGUGUUAACCAAAUAAGAAUCAGGAAACACUUGGGAAAUUAAUGUGUAAAGUAGACAAAAUAAAGCAUUCAAGGCAUGCUGGUC